UAAAUGCCUAGAAAAAUAUAUACAACAUUCUCCCAGUCAAUAUUUUGAUCAUAAACAAAUUUUACACUUACAAUUCAUCCCCUGAAUUUCUCAUAUUUGUGAUCUUUUGUAAGACAUGAUAAUAAAAAUCUACAAGAAAGUUGGACAAUUAUGAGCUCCAGUCUCAACUUGGGUUCAUGAUCCAUGUUACAGCUAUCAACAGGAAAUAUUAAUGACAUCAGACCUGGAUAUAUCCUUCAUUGCUUUUGGCUGUAUAAACACUAUGAUUUCUGUUAACACUUUCAAGAACCAGUUUUCUAUUAAAAUUCCAAUUAACUCAGUCUUCACUUUAGUGGAAACUUUCAGUAAAAGCGAGCACUUAAAAAAUGAAAGCAGACAAUUAAAGUGAAAACAUGAGAAAAAUGCUUAUAGAAAAGUCCAGUAAAGCAUCAUGACAUAUGUAAUUAAACAUCUGACUAUCACAGUUUCCUCUACAGGGGGUCCCCAAACAUUUUACACAGGGGGCCAGUUCACUGUCCCUCAGGAUGUUGGAGGGCUGGACUAUAAAAAAAAAAACACUAUGAACAAAUCGGUAUACCGCUCUCUGGGAUAGCGGAGGGUGCAGGACUGGCUGUGAUGGGUCCGUCACACCUUGCACAAGCCCUUAACCCUACCAUUAUACUGGGCAGCAGUAUACACAGUGCAGAAUCCCUUCCCCCAGAUCGCCACUCACCAUGCUGACGUCUUCCAUUGUGCAGCCCCAUAAUCCUUUGCGUGACGUCUCAUUCUCAGAACAAGGUGCCACACAAAGGAUUAUGUCACCAGAAGUAGUACUGUAGGUGGGCAACAACAUGCUUCGUGGUGCACCACAUACAGGGCUCCUCUCACUGACCACCAAUGAAAGAGAUGCCCCUUCUGGAAGUGCGCGGAUCAUGGCCAGGUAUGAAGAGGAAAAGGAUCUCAUUUUUGUGUGGGACACGAUCCUGGGUACUCGAAGACCAUGUCAUCAGAAUGCAAGCCUGGGCAGGUCCAGCCAACCAAGCAUGAUUUCGAGGAUAAAUGGAGCUACAGAUUCUGAGAAGCUGCCCAGCUAG
rnacentral:lncRNA from 1 species